rnacentral:rRNA from 1 species
UACGAAGGGGGCUAGCGUUGCUCGGAAUCACUGGGCGUAAAGCGCACGUAGGCGGCUUUCUAAGUCAGGGGUGAAAUCCUGGAGCUCAACUCCAGAACUGCCUUUGAUACUGGAGCUUGAGUCCGGGAGAGGUGAGUGGAACUCCGUAGUGUAGAGGUGGAAUUCGUAGAUAUUCGCAAGAACACCAGUGGCGAAGGCGGCUCACUGGCCCGGUACUGACGCUGAGGUGCGAAAGCGUGGGGAGCAAACAGG